UACGGGGGGGGCAAGCGUUGUUCGGAAUUACUGGGCGUAAAGGGCUCGUAGGCGGCCAACUAAGUCAGACGUGAAAUCCCCAGGCUCAACCUGGGAACUGCGUCUGAUACUGGAUGGCUUGAAUCCGGGAGAGGGAUGCAGAAUUCCAGGUGUAGCGGUGAAAUGCGUAGAUAUCUGGAGGAAUACCGGUGGCGAAGGCGGGUCUCUGGGCCGAUACUGACGCUGAGGAGCGAAAGCGUGGGGAGCAAACAGG
rnacentral:rRNA from 1 species